AACUACUAAAAUAAAACAACAGAGCCCAGUUGUAGAAAAGCGGAUAACACUAUCCGACGGAUAAUUUGCCAUCCAGCGGAUAGCUGUUUAGAAAAUGUACUGCGCUGUUCAUUGGAUAGCGAUUUAUCCAGUGGAUUGGCGAAAAAUUAAGUUGAAGAAGAGCGGGACAAUUCAUUGUGUGUUACAUGGAAAGUAAAUAUCUUUAUGGAGCGGGAGAUGCUUCAAACAUGGCGCCGUUCAUGGUGCAACACCCGGAUGUACUACUAGGGGGCUUUGGCUGCCCCAACUGUGGAUAAUUGCAAGUCAAACUAAGAAGAAUGAAGGGAAGGAACCAUGUUUGUCUGUCAGUGGGCUGGUCGUCUUUCAUUAAGGAAGGCACCACUUCCUCCACAAAUGCCUUUCCAUCUUCAUCACUGGCAAGAGAGGUUUGUCCGAGGUGCAGUCGUGUAACAGCUACAGCCCAGAAGAUUUCUUGUCAUUCCCGUCGCUUUCUUAAAACUUUUUUUUACUUUUUAGAAUGAUCAAGCGUUCAGUGGUAAAUAUUAACCAGGGACACAGUUUUCUUUGUACUGCAUGAAACGUCGGUUAUGAAACUAGGGUACAACUCACUAUUUAUAGCAGGGGAGGAACGAGGAAGGUUCUUUCACUAACAGAUGAACUGUAAUUAUUCUGAAAUUCAAUUGAAGAACAAGUAUGCUUUAAAGAAAGUGUAUGAAGACAGAGAAACCAUUAAUUCUGGCUUCUGCCUGGCAGUUGUAUCAAAAAAUGCAUAUUUAAUCCAGUCUCGCCAGAAGAAAGUUAAACCUCAUUGCUUGCACAAUGUAGUCUAAACAAAGGUGUGAUUGAAUUGAUUUGAAUGAGUUCGUUUCAUUUUCAUUUUCCUCUCCUCAAGGUACAUUACCAUAUUCUCAAACCAAUAGCAACAACAACUGAAGUCUCCACUUAUAAUGCUUUUAUUAGAAAUAUACUGGUACUCGUAGAGUAAGACACAUUCUGGUUACAGUAACAGUUACAACUUACAUAUUACCUAGAACUUUAUAAGCAAUAUUUCCUUAAUUUAAGCCAUGUUAUUGGAAGCUAUUAAAGUGAAAUAUGUAGCAAUGCUUGAUAACAU